GCGUGUAUGAACAAUAUAAAUGGAAAGCCCAUCAGAAAGGCCCAAUUGAAUGAAUCCGGGUCCAACACGGGUCAACCCGUUUCAAAGAAGUUUUUUUUUCUGAUUCGGCUUUUCGCUUCCUCUCUGUUUUGCUACUUACUCCCUCUCUCGAUUCAAAAGUCUCUGCUUUGGCUUCUGGGUAUCGACGAGAGUAACGUGAUUCGGAGACUCAAGUGUUUUGUCUAGAAUUUCUGUUUCGUUGGUGUGUUCUUUAAGGAACAUGGAACACGACAAUGUAGCUGCUGUGAUAAGCAACCGGCGACACAAAACAUAACAGCCAAAAAAAAAGAAGAAAAAGGAAGGAAAUUGCAGAUUUUCAUAGCUUAGAAGGAAGAAGAAUGAGAAAGUCAUUGUACAUCAUAGCAGCUCAUGCUAACCUCGUAUCUCAAGUAAAGUAUGAACCACAAGAAGGCUACCUCCCUCCUGGCCACUGCAUCAUACGACAUGAAAGUCAAUAUAUGGUCAGACAGAGAUUUCUCGCUUGUUAGAAGCUUAGCAGGACACGAGUCAAAAGUUGCCUCAUCAGAUAUCACUGCAGAUAGCUCGUGUAUAGCAACUGUAUCACGUGACCGUACCAUCAAGCUUUGGACAAGCAGUAGCAACUAAGAGGAAGAAGAAGGCGGAGAAACAAUUGACAUAGACUUAUAAUAGUAUCGAUUUGUAAUCUUGUUGUGGAUUAUCCAUAGGAUGAUGAUACAUUGUCUUUGAAAAUUUUGCCAUGACGGUCAACAAGUUUCCCUGAGAUACUAUUUGACAACAUGAUAAGAAAAGAACGGAGAGAUGGGAUCUUCUAAAGA